rnacentral:rRNA from 1 species
CCUACGUGAGGCAGCAGUGGGGGAUAUUGCACAAUGGGGGGAACCCUGAUGCAGCGACGCCGCGUGGGUGAAGAAGCGCCUCGGCGCGUAAAGCUCUGUCAGUCGGGAAGCAAAUGACGGUACCUGAAGCAGAAGCCCCGGCUAACUACGUGCCAGCAGCCGCGGCAAUACGUAGGGGGCCAUCGUUAUCCGGAUUUACUGGGGGUAAAGGGGGCGCAGACGGCGAUGCAAGCCAGGAGUGAAAGCCCGGGGGCCAACCCCGGGACUGCUCUUGGAACUGCGUGGCUAGAGUGCAGGAGGGGCAGGCGGAAUGCCUGGUGUAGCGGUGAAAUGCGUAGAUAUCAGGAGGAACACCGGUGGCGAAGGCAGCCUGCUGGACUGCAACUGACGUUGAGGCCCGAAAGCGUGGGUAGCAAACAGGAUUAGAUACCCCUGUAGUC